GUUAGUGGACCAAUUAAUUCAAACCUUUGACCCAUUUUCUCUCAUUUCACCCUAUUUCACACACACACAAAGUAACAUACGGGAAGCAGAGUCCGAGAAAGAAGGAGAAAAAGAGGAAAAGAAAAAGGGAAAAAGGAAAAGAAAAAGGAAAAGAAGAGGAAAGGAGGGAUAUUUGCACGAAUUGGAGCUCAAGUGUGGGGAUUUAUUCAUUUCAAAUUUUCAGCAAGGAGGUAACGAGGCGAUUGGAAACGUCUAUCAACCUAUCUAGCUUGUAGCUCAUACCUUGAGAAGGUCGAUUUUGAGAUAUUUGAAAAAGCCUGCUGAAGUAAAAGAGACCGUUUCAUAAGUAUGUAAUGAAUAGUUGGAGAACUUAUGUUUAUUAAGUAAUUGUCUAAUUUUGGGUGACAAACAUAUUCGUAGAAGGGUUUGUAAGUGAUGUAAUACUUGUGUGUUGACAGGAUGAUGUUGUAGAAGUACUCAGUCGAAUUUUGUUAUAUUUUGUAAUAGUUGUGGUGGUAUUAGAGGAAGUGGUGGUUUUCAAAACUUUUGGUUUAAAUGUCUAUUUGAGAUUUUGAUGAUUUUUCAGGUUGAUUUUGUCCAUGUUACAGGGGAAAUUCUGUCAAAAUUUUCAUA